CGCGUUCUCUUGAAAGUGGAUACUUAAGUGCUUUUGCCGACCUGUGAGCCAUUGCAUCAAUUUUGCCUGCUUUGAAGCUAAAAGAAAGAAAGAACAUGAAGUUCUUUAGUCAAGUGAUUCUCUUGUUGCUGGGCUUAUUAUUCUUCAUCUUGACGUUGGAACCUACCCCUGUACAGGCGAUAUAUUACCACCCAAUGCGACAAUCUUCUAGAGGCUCUCCCCGAUUUCCAUGGAAAGAACCAAAAGGAAAUAUUCAUAUACCAUUCGGUACAAGGAAACCAAAGACACCACGUCCUGGAUCUAACGG